rnacentral:rRNA from 1 species
CAGUAGCCGCGGGAAUACAGAGGUCUCAAGCGUUGUUCGGAUUCAUUGGGCGUAAAGGGAGCGUAGGCGGUCGGGUAAGUUGGAUGUGAAAUCCUGGGGCUCAACCUCAGAACUGCAUUCAAUACUGCUUGGCUAGAGUACUGGAGAGGUGAGUGGAAUUCACGGUGUAGCAGUGAAAUGCGUAGAUAUCGUGAGGAAGACCAGCGGCGAAGGCGGCUCACUGGACAGUUACUGACGCUGAUGCUCGAAGGCCAGGGGAGCAAACAGGAUUAGAUACCCCUGUAGUCCCUGUCUCUUAUAC